UACGAAGGGGGCUAGCGUUGUUCGGAAUUACUGGGCGUAAAGCGCACGUAGGCGGGUUUGUAAGUAGGGGGUGAAAUCCCAGGGCCCAACCCUGGAACUGCCUUCUAGACUGCAAGCCUGGAGGUCAGGAGAGGCGAGUGGAAUACCGAGUGUAGAGGUGAAAUUCGUAGAUAUUCGGUGGAACACCAGUGGCGAAGGCGACUCGCUGGACUGAUACUGACGCUGAGGUGCGAAAGCGUGGGGAGCAAACAGG
rnacentral:rRNA from 1 species